GAUGAACGCUGGCGGCGUGCCUAAUACAUGCAAGUCGAGCGAACGGACGAGAAGCUUGCUUCUCUGAUGUUAGCGGCGGACGGGUGAGUAACACGUGGAUAACCUACCUAUAAGACUGGGAUAACUUCGGGAAACCGGAGCUAAUACCGGAUAAUAUUUUGAACCGCAUGGUUCAAAAGUGAAAGACGGUCUUGCUGUUACUUAUAGAUGGAUCCGCGCUGCAUUAGCUAGUUGGUAAGGUAACGGCUUACCAAGGCAACGAUGCAUAGCCGACCUGAGAGGGUGAUCGGCCACACUGGAACUGAGACACGGUCCAGACUCCUACGGGAGGCAGCAGUAGGGAAUCUUCCGCAAUGGGCGAAAGCCUGACGGAGCCACGCCGCGUGAGUGAUGAAGGUCUUCGGAUCGUAAAACUCUGUUAUUAGGGAAGAACAUAUGUGUAAGUAACUGUGCACAUCUUGACGGUACCUAAUCAGAAAGCAACGGCUAACUACGUG
rnacentral:rRNA from 1 species